CCUACGGGAGGCAGCAGUGGGGGAUAUUGCACACUGGGGGUAACCCUGAUGCAGCGACGCCGCGUGGGUGAAGGAGCGUUUCGGCGCGUAAAGCCCUAUCGGCAGGGAAGAAGGAGGCCGGUCCCUACCUAAGAAGCCCCGGCUACCUACGUGCCACCAGCCGCGGUACUACGUAGGGGGAAAGCGUUAUCCGGUUUUACUGGUUUUAAAGGUGGCGCAGACGGCAGCGAAAGCCAGGAGUGAAGGCCCGGGGCCCAACCCCGGGACUGCUCUUGGAACUGCGCGGAUGGAGUGCAGGAGGGGCAGGCGGAAUUCCUAGGGUAGCGGUGAAAGGCGUAGAUAUCAGGAGGAACACCGGUGGCGAAGGCGGCCUGCUGGACUGCGACUGACGUUGAGGCCCGAAAGCGUGGGGAGCAAACAGGAUUAGAUACCCCUGUAGUC
rnacentral:rRNA from 1 species